CUACACCCCUCACCUACUACGUCAACUUUUCCUUCUACGCAGAAAUCAUAAUUCCAUCACCACCAACCUUGCUGCCGCUGCCACCAACCUUGCUCUCGCCAAACCCUAUCUCCAUCACCAUUAACCUCGCCGUCAACCUCGAGCCUCCAUGGCCACCACCAUCAGAAUCGCAAAUCAUCCAUUGACGCUGCCAAACCCUAGCGUUGCCACCAUCCAAUCCACUAGUCCUUAGCGAGCCGCCUCCUCCAUUAACACACCAGCUCCUCUCCAUGAGCUACUCGCACCAGGUUGUACCACGAGAACCACUUUGCCUCGUUGUCGCACCAUCUACAGCGACGAGAUCAUCUUCUUCACCAAAAACCUCCAUUGUGAAACCUUCACCAACCCUACACUCAGAAAAACCAGCCCAAGAAUCCCAAAUCAAACCCAUAACAGAACCCUAAAAACCCAAUGUCGUUGCUGUGACUCGCGAGACCUAUAAGAAGAAACCAGAGCAAACCCAAAACCUAAUCGCUCCCAUGACUGUCAGGAUUGACUAGAGGAAGGCCGAGGUCGGGACGUCGUUUUUGCCGUUGAGGAAUGUCCCUGACGCGGGAAAGUCGCCGAAAUUAAGAGGGUCGCAAGAGAAAGAGGAGUGACCAUUGAAGUUUUCUUUGACGCUGAUGAAGAAAGAGAUUGAGGAGGAUUUCAUGAAUUUGAGGAGGAGACCCUUUUCCCUUGUUAGUGGUUGUCAGAGGUUAGUGCUGAUUGCUACAAGGUUCCUGAUGAAGUUGAGACUGGCAAGCGGUAGCAUUGAAGUUGACGAAAGGCAUUUGGAUCGGCUACGGAGGAUGCAUAUGAGGCUGAUGAGGGAUUUUGGAUCGAAUUGGUGGUAUUUCUAGGAGUUAGAGUUGGUGGAGUAUCUUUAAUUUUCCUGCUGCACCCUCCAUUCAUAAACGGAUGUUGAGAUCCAUUUUUCCUUCAACGGAUGUUGAUAUACAUGGGAGGUGCGGAAACCGUGUGUGGUGGUGGAGGGAGUAACUCUCCCUAAUCAAAGAGGUUUUGACCGAGUUGUGAAGCCCAACGAGCACAGUUUUGGAAGGGGAGAAGGCACGGACUAAUUGAAUCAAAAUUUCCCUUUUGAAGGGUGACAUAGCUGCUGAACCAGAGGUGAAGGCACACGAGCUGAACUAGUGCGUGCAUGUGAAGCUUCCUUAAGGGCCUGCGACGUUUGAAGCAAGACCAAACUGGGACCAAGCAGAAGCCCAAUUGAAGAACGCUGGUUCGAGAGGAACACAUUUGGAAACUACGUUGGCAUUUCUGCAAAUCAGAGUUAGGUUAGGUCUUAGUUUGUUUUCUUCUUCUUCCCUUAUAUAAGGAACAAAGAGCAACCCCUUUCAUAGCUUCAAUCUUCACUUUCUUUUAUAUCCUUUCUAUGAUUGUCUGUUCUCUAGUGUAAACCUGUCUUAAGUGUCUUGUGUUUGUGCAUAUGUGUUUUACUUUACAGAAAUUGUUAAUCUUGUUUCAAUUAAUUUUUUCUAUUGCUAUGUUCUUUGCUUUCAA